rnacentral:rRNA from 1 species
AGAGUUUGAUCAUGGCUCAGAAUGAACGUUGGCGGCGUGGAUUAGGCAUGCAAGUCGGACGGGCCGCAAGGCCAGUGGCGGAAGGGUGAGUAAGGCGAAGGUAACCAACCCCAGGGUUGGGCAUAGCCGGGGGAAACCUCGGGUAAUUCCCAGCGACGCGACGCCCCGGCAUCGGGGAGUCGCCAAAGAUUCAUCGCCCUGGGACGGGCCUUCGUGGUAUUAGGUUGUUGGCGGGGUGACGGCCCACCAAGCCUGCGAUGCCUACCGGGCGUGCGAGCGUGGCCCGGCACACUGGGACUGAGACACUGCCCAGACUCCUACGGGAGGCUGCAGUCGAGAAUCUUCGGCAAUGGGCGCAAGCCUGACCGAGCGACGCCGCGUGGAGGACGAAGGCCUUCGGGUUGUAAACUCCUGUCGAGGGGGAGGAAGGGGCAACCUUGACCGAUCCCUGGAGGAAGCACGGGCUAAGUUCGUGCCAGCAGCCGCGGUAAGACGAACCGUGCGAACGUUAUUCGGAAUCACUGGGCUUAAAGCGCGUGUAGGCGGGCCGCCGCGUCGGCUGCUGAAAUCCCCCGGCUCAACCGGGGAACGGGCACCGAUACGGGCGGCCUCGAGGGGGGUAGGGGGGUCUGGAACUUCCGGUGGAGCGGUGAAAUGCGUUGAGAUCGGAAGGAACGCCCGUGGCGAAAGCGAGGCCCUGGACCCUUACUGACGCUGAGACGCGAAAGCCAGGGGAGCGAACGGGAUUAGAUACCCCGGUAGUCCUGGCCGUAAACGAUGAACACUGGGUAGGGGGGCUCGCCGAUGGGCUCCCUGCCGUAGGGAAACCGUGAAGUGUUCCGCCUGGGGGAGUAUGGUCGCAGGGCUGAAACUCAAAGGAAUUGACGG